ACCAAAAUGCACAGGUUGUGAACUCGAAGAGUAGGGCGGGACACGUGGUAUCCUGUCUGAAUAUGGGGGGACCAUCCUCCAAGGCUAAAUACUCCUGACUGACCGAUAGUGAACCAGUACCGUGAGGGAAAGGCGAAAAGAACCCCGGCGAGGGGAGUGAAAAAGAACCUGAAACCGUGUACGUACAAGCAGUGGGAGCACCUUCGGGUGUGACUGCGUACCUUUUGUAUAAUGGGUCAGCGACUUAUAUUCUGUAGCAAGGUUAACCGUAUAGGGGAGCCGCAGGGAAACCGAGUCUUAACUGGGCGUUAAGUUGCAGGGUAUAGACCCGAAACCCGGUGAUCUAGCCAUGGGCAGGUUGAAGGUUGGGUAACACUAACUGGAGGACCGAACCGACUAAUGUUGAAAAAUUAGCGGAUGACUUGUGGCUGGGGGUGAAAGGCCAAUCAAACCGGGAGAUAGCUGGUUCUCCCCGAAAGCU
rnacentral:rRNA from 2 species